CCUACGGGAGACAGCAGUGAGGAAUAUUGGUCAAUGGCCGAGAGGCUGAACCAGCCAAGUCGCGUGAGGGAUGACGGCCCUACGGGUUGUAAACCUCUUUUGUCGGGGAGCAAAGCGAGUCACGUGUGACUCAUUGAGAGUACCCGAAGAAAAAGCAUCGGCCAACUCCGUGCCAGCCGCCGCGGUAAUACCGAGGAUGCGAGCGUUAUCCGGAUUUAUUGGGGUUAAAGGGUGCGCAGGCGGAGGUGUAAGUCAGCGGUCACAUUGUGGGGCUCAAUCCCGUACUGCCGUUGAAACUGCAUCCCUUGAGUGCGCGAGAAGUAUGCGGAAUGCGUGGUGUAGCGGUGAAAUGCAUAGAUAUCACGCAGAACUCCGAUUGCGAAGGCAGCAUACCGGCGCGCAACUGACGCUCAUGCACGAAAGCGUGGGUAUCGAACAGGAUUAGAUACCCUAGUAGUC
rnacentral:rRNA from 1 species